rnacentral:rRNA from 1 species
GAGCCAGACUCCUACGGGAGGCAGCAGUGGGGGAUAUUGCACAACGGGGGAAACCCUGAUGCAGCGACGCCGCGUGAGUGAAGAAGUCUUUCGGUAUGUAAAGCUCUAUCAGCAGGGAAGAAGAAAGACGGUACCUGAGUAAGAAGCCCCGGCUAACUACGUGCCAGCAGCCGCGGUAAUACGUAGGGGGCAAGCGUUAUCCGGAUUUACUGGGUGUAAAGGGAGCGUAGACGGUGAGACAAGUCUGAAGUGAAAGCCCGGGGCUCAACCCCGGGACUGCUUUGGAAACUGCCUGACUGGAGCGCUGGAGAGGCAAGCGGAAUUCCUAGUGUAGCGGUGAAAUGCGUAGAUAUUAGGAGGAACACCGGUGGCGAAGGCGGCUUACUGGACUGUAACUGACGUUGAGGCUCGAAGGCGUGGGGAGCAAACAGGAUUAGAUACCCGGGUA